rnacentral:rRNA from 1 species
CACGCCGUAAACGAUGGAUACUAGGUGUUGGUGGCCCUUUACCCCACCAGUGCCGAAGCUAACGCGAUAAGUAUCCCACCUGGGGACUACGGUCGCAAGACUAAAACUCAAAGGAAUUGACGGGGGCCCGCACAAGCAGCGGAGCGUGUGGUUUAAUUCGAGGCUACACGAAGAACCUUACCUGGGUUUGACAUGCUAGUGGUAGUGACGCGAAAGCCGAACGACCCUUCGGGGAGCUAGCACAGGUGC